AAAUUGAAGAGUUUGAUCAUGGCUCAGAUUGAACGCUGGCGGCAGGCCUAACACAUGCAAGUCGAACGGUAACAGGAAGCAGCUUGCUGCUUCGCUGACGAGUGGCGGACGGGUGAGUAAUGUCUGGGAAACUGCCUGAUGGAGGGGGAUAACUACUGGAAACGGUGGCUAAUACCGCAUAACGUCGCAAGACCAAAGAGGGGGACCUUCGGGCCUCUUGCCAUCAGAUGUGCCCAGAUGGGAUUAGCUUGUUGGUGAGGUAACGGCUCACCAAGGCGAC
rnacentral:rRNA from 3 species